AAAAUGGCUGGAGGAAUGUAGCUUCGAUCUCGUAUUGAUGUGUUAUAGCUUCGGCAGAUGUGAUGAUCGGGAUUGAGGAUUGCAACGGAUACCUUUCGGGGCUAUCCUCUGUCCUCUGAAAGUCGCUCGGGAGUUGAAAGCGUGCUUAUGACUAUUCGAGUUGGCGUCAAUAGGUUAGAACGUGAUUAUAUUCGUUAAGGAUGUUGACGUAAUGGCUUUAAACGA
rnacentral:rRNA from 1 species